AAUGAGCAGCGAAUCAGGGACUGUACCAACCACGUCGGGACAUGAUUCGACGACGUCAGAUUCCGAUGCUACCGAUUAUGUGCCUCCUUAUCAAUCCCCAAAGAUCCCAAGUCAGAGAUACGAUUCAUACGAGCCUGACUACAUAGAUCAAUCACCAAGAGAGAGCCACAAUGUGAUGCGACCGAGAAGUGAAAGGCACGAGAGAUACGAAGAGUCACCUUAUCGUUCGUACGACCGUUCACGCAAAACUCCGAGAAGAUCAACACCAAUGAUCGAGAAACCAAGACCGCCGAAAGACUAUGACCACACC
rnacentral:lncRNA from 1 species